UCAAUGGGCCCCGUAGUCCUGCGCGCACCGCCGCCGCGCGCGGAUGAGAAUGAGGUGGUAACGGGCUCCCGGAUGACCUCGCGUCACCACUGUGAGGCCUACAGCUCAGCCGGGGAGGAGGAGGAGGAGGAAGAGGAGGAGAAGUAGCUACAUCAAGCUGGCUAGCAGGCAGAUCCAAAGGAUAUCAUGAAGUUUCCAGGGCCUUUGGAAAACCAGAGAUUGUCUUUCCUGUUGGAAAAGGCAAUCACUAGGGAAGCGCAGAUGUGGAAAGUGAAUGUGCGAAAAAUGCCUUCAAAUCAGAAUAUUUCUCCAUCCCAGAGAGAUGAAGUAAUUCAAUGGCUGGCCAAACUCAAGUACCAAUUCAACCUUUACCCAGAAACAUUUGCUCUGGCUGGCAGUCUUUUGGACAGGUUUUUAGCUACCGUAAAGGCUCAUCCGAUAUACUUGAGUUGUAUUGCAAUCAGCUGUUUUUUCCUAGCUGCCAAGACUGUUGAGGAAGAUGAGAGAAUUCCAGUACUAAAGGUAUUGGCAAGAGACAGUUUCUGUGGAUGUUCCUCAUCUGAAAUUUUGAUAAUGGAGAGAAUUAUUCUGGAUAAGUUGAAUUGGGAUCUUCACACAGCCACACCAUUGGAUUGUCUUCAUAUUUUCCAUGCUAUUGCGGUGUCAACUAGGCCUCAGUUACUUUUCAGUUUGCCCAAAUUGAGCCCAUCUCAACAUUUGGCAGUCCUUACCAAGCAACUACUUCACUGUAUGGCCUGCAACCAACUUCUGCAAUUCAGAGGAUCCAUGCUUGCUCUGGCCAUGGUUAGUCUGGAAAUGGAGAAACUUAUUCCUGAUUGGCUUUCUCUUACAAUUGAACUGCUUCGGAAAGCACAGAUGGAUAGCUCCCAGUUGAUCCACUGUCAGGAGCUUGUGGCACAUCACCUUUCUACUCUGUAGUCUUCCCUGCCUCUAAAUUCCGUUUAUGUCUACCGUCCCCUCAAGCACACCCUGGUGACCUGUGACAAAGGAGUGUUCAGAUUACAUCCCUCCUCUGUCCCAGGCCCAGACUUCUCCAAGGACAACAGCAAGCCAGAAGUGCCAGUCAGAGGUACAGCAGCCUUUUACCAUCAUCUCCCAGCUGCCAGUGGGUGCAAGCAGACCUCUGCUAAACGCAAAGUAGAGGAAAUGGAAGGGGAUGACUUCCAUGAUGGAAUCAAACGGCUCUAUAAUGAAGAUAAUGUCUCAGAAAAUGUGGGUUCUGUGUGUGGCACUGACUUAUCAAGACAAGAGGGACAUGCUUCCCCUUGUCCACCUUUGCAGCCUGUUUCUGUCAUGUAGUUUCAACAAGUGUUACCUUUGAGUGUAAACUAAGGUAGACUACUCUGGGAAUGAGAACAUGCAAAAUCAGGAAAGGCUGUAGAAGGAUAUAUACCUUAACAGGCUGAUUUGGAGUGAGCCAGGAAAAAAAAAAACUACUCUCAUUAUUUGUAUGGCUAAUUAUAAUUCAGUGUUAUUUAAACACAUAAGGACCAAAAAAAAAAAAAAAAUCCAAAAGAUCCAAACUUUUUUAAACUUAAAAAAUCUCUUUGUAGUAUGCCAGUUGCACUUUUUUUCUGCCAUAAUGUAACGUAGCUUGCCCCAUCAAAAAUUCAGUUAAAAUUCAUAGCCAGCAAACCUGUUCCCCCUCAGCAUCCUGAUUUAAUUUUCCUGUUGCUUUUGCUUGCUUCUCCAUUUAAGUUACUGAACUUUAUGCAUGCUGAUCUGUAUUGAUUCUCACUGAAUAGGAAACCCCAAAAUUAUUUUUUAGCAGUCGAACAAAUUAUUUCAGUGUGACAGCCAUGAUGCAAGUUCCAAUUAGUAUGAAAGUACUUUGGAAUUGUCCCAUAUUAAUCAGAGACAGCAACAGAAAAAGUUCUCAUAUUACCAGGUUGAUUUUGUGUCUCAUUUCAAAUUUUAAUUUAAAAUUAUGGUUUUCAUUUUUGUUUACCUUAAAGUGAUGCUUAAAAGUGGUAUGUAAUUAGGACACUUAGAUUUGUUGAAAGCAUUUUUGACAUAUAUAUCUAUAAAAGAAUUUGUGAUAAAGUUAAUAUAUCCAGGUGCUCACCAAAGAAACAUGUAUGUAACAACUGAAAUUAGAUUUUUCUAACUGAUAGUUUUCACUCAUUUAUAAUCAGUAGGAGAGACUGUCUAGAUGUUGGGGCAGCUCUGUGAUUUGAGUCUGUAACAUGUUAUAACUGAAUUUAGUACCCUAGUUUUGUUAAGCUAUUAGGAUUUUCUAAUAGAACUUACUCCCCUGCUGCCUCCCCAGCCUACAUAUAAUUCUCUUAAUGACUUCUGGAUCCUGAGCUCCCUUUGCAGUCUGAAAAAGGUAUUGCAGUCAGAACCGUGUACUGAUGAUAAAAGCCUCUGGUAGCAAUAAAAAGUUGUCCU